UGUUCCUCGAGUAGCAGUGUCUUCGUCCACCUCUCUGCACUAUGUCCAGUGGCCUUCUGAAGGCGCUGCGCAGCGACUCCUACGUGGAGCUGAGCCAGUACCGGGACCAGCACUUCUGGGGUGACAAUGAAGAACAGGAAAAAUUACUGAAGAAGAGCUGUACAUUGUAUGUUGGAAAUCUUUCCUUUUACACAACUGAAGAACAAAUCUAUGAACUCUUCAGCAAGAGUGGUGACAUAAAGAAGAUCAUUAUGGGCCUGGAUAAGAUGAAGAAAACAGCAUGUGGGUUCUGCUUUGUGGAAUACUAUUCAAGAGCAGAUGCAGAAAAUGCCAUGAGGUACAUAAACAGAACUCGUCUGGAUGACUGGAUCAUUCGCACAGACUGGGACGCAGGCUUUAAGGAGGGAUGGCAGUAUGGCCGUGGGCGAUCUGGGGGCCAGGUAUGAGAUGAGUAUCGGCAGGACUAUGAUGCUGGGAGAGGAGGCUAUGGAAAACUGGCCCAAAACCAGUGAGUGGUGAGAGCCCCAUCAUGAAAACUCACUCCUUUGGCCUGUUGAAUUUGCCAUGCAUUACCCAAGGUCUGCAAACCUGCCCACUUUUAACAUGCUUUGAUCAAGGUCUCUACUGAGUUCGAAGCCAUUUUAUGGUUGUCCUUUGAAAACUAUUAAAGGACAGAAUCCAAAGGAAUGCCUUUAUUCUGUAGUCUUAGAAUCUUGGCCAUACGUCAGGUUGCCAGAAUGAUUUUAUGUCACCAGGUCAGAAUUUGUGUUCUGUGGCAACAGGUUACAUUUAUCAGCCCAAAACACCACACUUUUUUCAGGAAGCUGGAAAAUUUUAAAAAUUGAUAAUAGGUUCGUGGUCUUCAUUGGGGCCUCAAAAAUUUUAAGUUUGCAGGAAAUAAAAAUGUAAUAAAUGGGGUUUUGCUAUGUUGUACUGUUCUGAAUGUAA